rnacentral:rRNA from 1 species
GAUCCUGGCUCAGGACGAACGCUGGCGGCGCGCCUAACACAUGCAAGUCGAACGAGAGAUGAGGAGCUUGCUCUUCAAAUCGAGUGGCGAACGGGUGAGUAACGCGUGAGGAACCUGCCUCAAAGAGGGGGACAACAGUUGGAAACGACUGCUAAUACCGCAUAAGCCCACGGCUCGGCAUCGAGCAGAGGGAAAAGGAGUGAUCCGCUUUGAGAUGGCCUCGCGUCCGAUUAGCUGGUUGGUGAGGUAAUGGCCCACCAAGGCGACGAUCGGUAGCCGGACUGAGAGGUUGAACGGCCACAUUGGGACUGAGACACGGCCCAGACUCCUACGGGAGGCAGCAGUGGGGAAUAUUGCACAAUGGGGGAAACCCUGAUGCAGCGACGCCGCGUGGAGGAAGAAGGUCUUCGGAUUGUAAACUCCUGUUGUUGAGGAAGAUAAUGACGGUACUCAACAAGGAAGUGACGGCUAACUACGUGCCAGCAGCCGCGGUAAAACGUAGGUCACAAGCGUUGUCCGGAAUUACUGGGUGUAAAGGGAGCGCAGGCGGGAGGACAAGUUGGAAGUGAAAUCCAUGGGCUCAACCCAUGAACUGCUUUCAAAACUGUUUUUCUUGAGUAGUGCAGAGGUAGGCGGAAUUCCCGGUGUAGCGGUGGAAUGCGUAGAUAUCGGGAGGAACACCAGUGGCGAAGGCGGCCUACUGGGCACCAACUGACGCUGAGGCUCGAAAGUGUGGGUAGCAAACAGGAUUAGAUACCCUGGUAGUCCACACCGUAAACGAUGAUUACUAGGUGUUGGAGGAUUGACCCCUUCAGUGCCGCAGUUAACACAAUAAGUAAUCCACCUGGGGAGUACGACCGCAAGGUUGAAACUCAAAUGAAUUGACGGAAGGGCGAAUUCUG